rnacentral:rRNA from 1 species
UGCCAGCCGCCGCGGUAAUACGGAGACUGCGAGCGUUACUCGGAUUCACUGGGCGUAAAGGGUGCGUAGGCGGACAGAUGUGUCAGGUGUGAAAGCCCAGAGCUCAACUCUGGAACUGCGCCUGAAACUAUUUGUCUAGAGUAUCGGAGAGGUAAGCGGAAUUCCUAGUGUAGCGGUGAAAUGCGUAGAUAUUAGGAGGAACACCAAAGGCGAAGGCAGCUUACUGGACGAUAACUGACGCUGAGGCACGAAAGCGUGGGGAGCGAAAAGGAUUAGAUA